UACGUAGGGGGCAAGCGUUGUCCGGAUUUAUUGGGCGUAAAGAGCGUGUAGGCGGCCAGACAGGUCCGUUGUGAAAACUCGAGGCUCAACCUCGAGAUGUCGAUGGAAACCGUCUGGCUAGAGUCCGGAAGAGGAGUGUGGAAUUCCUGGUGUAGCGGUGAAAUGCGCAGAUAUCAGGAAGAACACCUAUGGCGAAGGCGGCAUCCUGGACCAACACUGACGCUGAGGAGCGAAAGCCAGGGGAGCAAACGGG
rnacentral:rRNA from 1 species